CCUUCGAUAGCUCAGCUGGAAGAGCGUGGGACUGUAAUUGUUAAAGUACGAGAGCAUCGCUUGUUUCUACGUUAUAUCCCAAGGCCGCUGGUUCGAUCCCGGCUCGAAGGA
rnacentral:tRNA from 1 species